rnacentral:rRNA from 1 species
UACGUAGGGGGCUAGCGUUGUCCGGAUUUAUUGGGCGUAAAGAGCGUGUAGGCGGCCAGAUAGGUCUGCUGUGAAAACUCGAGGCUCAACCUCGAGAUGUCGGCGGAAACCAUUUGGCUAGAGUCCGGAAGAGGAAAGUGGAAUUCCUGGUGUAGCGGUGAAAUGCGCAGAUAUCAGGAAGAACACCCGUGGCGAAGGCGGCUUUCUGGGACGGUACUGACGCUGAGACGCGAAAGCUAGGGGAGCGAACAGG